UGCACUUCGCAGCCUUACCUCGAGCGCUGCCCAUUUCUCACACUGCCGGCUGCCCGGCCCCACGGAGCGCCUCUCCCUAAUCCCAGCCCCUCGGCACGGGUAAUUAUAGCUCUGGCGCAGCUCCACCAUUUCUCUCGUAUCAAACAAUCUCCGCUCGCUCGCUUUAUACGGACCGAGUCAAGAACGACUCGGGACCGGAGGGACCCGUCCUGCGCCCCGCUGCGUGACCUUGAGAGAGCGGCAGGCGCCACCGGAGGCGCCGAGCAGAGCGAGAGCGGGCGGAGCGAGCCGGCAGCGCCGCGGACGGGCCGGGAGACGGCGCCCCGCUCGCCUCGCAGAGCCGCUCCCAGCCGCAGGCGGCCCCGGCCGCGCCCUUUCGGAGCCGCUCCUCCCUCUCCUCCCGCUUUCGAACCCUCGCCCCGCCGCCCGCCCUCGGAGCCCCGCGCCGCGCACCCGGAAGGCGGGCGCCCGUCCCCGUCCCGGCUUCGCGCGGCGCGGCGCGCAGGCGCGGGAAGCGGUCGGCGUCUGCGCGGUCGCGCGCUGCACGGCCGGGGGCGGCCGCCGCGCCUCGCCUAUGGUCGGGGCCCCGCCGAGGACGGCCCCGCCCUCCGACCCCCGCCCCUCCCCGGCAGCGCCGCGGCUGUUACACCGGGUAGGUUUCCAGUCACUAUGGCGGCCGCUGCGCUGAAGGUCGGAGGAAAGUUUUCGCGGCCGGCGGCUGCCUGAGAGGCAGAGCUACCGAGCGGGCCCGGCCGCCAGGCCCUCUCACAGCGCCGGGCCCGAAGGAGCCGCGCUCGGCGGGCGGAGAAGGCUCUGGGCGGCCCCCCAUGAGCGGCCACCUGCGGAGGGGCUGAGCGGAGCCGCGCGGCCGCCCCCCGCCCCCCGACCCGCCGCUCGGAGCGCCGCUCCCCGCGCCGGGGGCUUCGGAGGCACUUCCUGGAGCGGCCCCCGCGACCCCCCGCCCGCCGGCGGCGACCCGGAGCCGCGGCGAGCUGUCAGCGCGCCCGGGGCCCAGCGAGCCGGCCGCCCGCCCGGCCCUGAGAGGCGAGCCGCGAGCUCCUCCGUGCCCCGGCGAGCUCCGAGCGGCCGCGCGGGGCUGUAGAGCGCUUCGGCUUCGUCUGCGGUCGGGGAGGAGAGCGGCGUUGCUCCGGUAGCCCGGCCCGAGGAGCGCCCGUCUGCUUUGACGCGCGAAGAUGGUGAGAUGCGGACUGCGCUGUGACACGACCCGCUCCCCGCUGCGGAGUGCGGGCUCUGCGGCCGCCUUCCCGCUCGCUGCGCUCUGAGGGAGGACGCCGGUCCUUUUCCCCCUUCCAUAAACCUCUCCUUGCUUCCAUGGUGCGGUGGUCAGCGUUGUUUACGGAAGGGGGAAAAAAAAGGAGGCGGUCGAGGUCCCAAACAAAAGUAUUUGUAUGACUCAUCCGCCUGGAUUUAAGACGUUCUCUCCCUCUGUCGAGGAGCCUUUCCUUCUGUCUGAAGAAAUCAGAUGCUCGUUCCUGUUCUUCCAGAGGAGGGUGGAUUAAAAGUGGUACGUUUUAGACGUUUUCUGGGCCACUGCUGAUGUUGUUAAGAGACAUAAUGGGGCUUUUUCACUGGAUUAUUGCCAGAAUUAGUUUACACACUGAAACAAUGAGUUGUUAGGCCUCUCGUAUGCGGUAAUGUUUGUCGUGCUUUAACGUAAACUUGCUGUGGAGGUUUGGCUUAAAAAUUGUGGAGGACGAUCUGCAUC
rnacentral:lncRNA from 1 species